rnacentral:rRNA from 1 species
GAUGAACGCUGACAGAAUGCUUAACACAUGCAAGUCUUUGGCGAAGCUGUGCUUGCACAGCCUAGCCAGGGCGGACGGGUGAGUAACGCGUAAGGAACUUGCCCUGCAGUCAGGGAUAACAGACGGAAACGACUGAUAAGACCUGGUAAAGUCAGGCGGACUCAUGUCCAGCCUGAUGAAAAGAGAUGCUGCAGGAGAGCCUUGCGUCCUAUUAGCUUGUUGGUGGGGUAACGGCCCACCAAGGCGAUGAUAGGUAGCCGGCCUGAGAGGGUGGACGGCCACAAGGGGACUGAGAUACGGCCCUUACUCCUACGGGAGGCAGCAGUGGGGAAUAUUGGACAAUGGGGGCAACCCUGAUCCAGCAAUUCUGUGUGCACGAUGAAGGUUUUCGGAUUGUAAAGUGCUUUCAGCAGGGAAGAAAAAAAUGACGGUACCUGCAGAAGAAGCGACGGCUAAAUACGUG